AAAAUAAAAUAAUGAUUGAAAACCAUUACUGUUUUGAAGCUGGGGUACCACUCCAGGGUUUAUGGAGUUAAUUCAUCUGGGUGUUGAAACCUCGCUUAUUUUACCUGCUCACACCAUCUUCGCCCCUUUGAAACAAAAGAAAUGAACUAUUACCAAGGGAGAAUAUCAGCAGCAUUCCACCAUUAGCGACCUGAGCGGCUCAGCAUUAUGUGACCAACAGCCCAAACAUAAACAAGGGCUCGCUCGCAGAGAGGGCCAGAUCUGCAUGUGCCCCUUGACAGCCUUUUCCCUAGCAGUUUGAAGUGGAUCCUGUGACUCCCGCUGCCUCCGCUUACACAGGGACCGCGUUACUAAACGUGUCACGCAGACAAUAACUGGGAAGAGGCACCUCACCGCCUCACCAUGCUGUUGCGGAGGUUUCCGCCGGCGCCCCCCUCCCGCGGGCAGCCUCCCUCCGGGCUCGCCCCCGGGCAGCCGGACGCCCCUGCGACGGGAGCGCCCUGACAGCGGGGAGCCACUUCCUUUAAACCCGUCCCCGAAAUGUCAUUUCGGCAGCAGCGUGACGGGCUGCGAUCCUCCCGCGGGGGCGCAGCACCCCCCGCACUGGAACGGGCACGGGCACGGGCACUGCUCCGCACGCCCCGCACGCCCCGGCAGCGCCGAACCUCCCGCCCGCCCGGCGGCUCCGCACGGAAUGGAAGGACCCUGGCCAGCGCACAGCCACAGUCCGCGCUCUCCCUGCACACACGCGUGCUGCCCGCCUCAUUGCCAUUGUGCUGCUGCAGCCCCCUCCGCCCCGCAUCCCUCCUCCUCUCUCCCUCCUCCCCCUUGCGCGGCGGGGCUCGGUGCGGGCAACCCGCGGGCAGACCCCGCUGGCCGCCACCGAGGCGGGGGAACCUGACCCAAAAGUCACAGGGAACACCCUCCUCCAGCCCUGGGAGGUAAUCCCCCCCGAGCCCGCUGCCUGACGGGUGGAGACCAGACAUGCCGUGUACCGCAGAGGUUACCGUUCCCUCCCCACCAGCCCUGCCAGGAACCACACACACUGCGGGCUGGAGGCAGGGCGAGCCCCCCCUCGCGUACCAGCCCUCUGCAUCCCGAGCCAUCACAGGAGCUCCACAGCUGCACCCCGACGGCAGGAGAGGGGAGCUUUUGGGAGGGAAGCUCGCCACAGGGAUUCAGAGAGCCUGCUGAAGUCGGGACUAACA
rnacentral:lncRNA from 1 species